UACGUAGGGUGCGAGCGUUAAUCGGAAUUACUGGGCGUAAAGGGUGCGCAGGCGGUUCUGCAAGGCAGGCGGGAAAUCCCCGGGCUUAACAUGGGAAUGGCGCUUGAAACUACGGGACUGGAGUAUGGCAGAGGGAGGUGGAAUUCCACGUGUAGCGGUGAAAUGCGUAGAUAUCGAGAGGAACACCUGCGGCGAAGGCGGGUUGCUGGGCUGAUACUGACGCUGAGGCGCGAAAGCCAGGGGAGCGAACGGG
rnacentral:rRNA from 1 species